UACGAAGGGGGCUAGCGUUGCUCGGAAUCACUGGGCGUAAAGGGUGCGUAGGCGGGUCUUUUAAGUCAGGGGUGAAAUCCUGGAGCUCAACUCCAGAACUGCCUUUGAUACUGCGGUGCUUGAGGACUGGAGAGGAGACUGGAAUUCAUGGUGUAGCAGUGAAAUGCGUAGAGAUCAUGAGGAAGACCAGUGGCGAAGGCGGGUCUCUGGACAGUUCCUGACACUGAGGCACGAAGGCCAGGGGAGCAAACGGG
rnacentral:rRNA from 1 species